rnacentral:rRNA from 1 species
AGUGAACGCUGGCGGUAGGCCUAACACAUGCAAGUCGAACGGCAGCACAGUAAGAGCUUGCUCUUACGGGUGGCGAGUGGCGGACGGGUGAGGAAUACAUCGGAAUCUACUUUUUCGUGGGGGAUAACGUAGGGAAACUUACGCUAAUACCGCAUACGACCUACGGGUGAAAGCAGGGGAUCUUCGGACCUUGCGCGAUUGAAUGAGCCGAUGUCGGAUUAGCUAGUUGGCGGGGUAAAGGCCCACCAAGGCGACGAUCCGUAGCUGGUCUGAGAGGAUGAUCAGCCACACUGGAACUGAGACACAGUCCAGACUCCUACGGGAGGCAGCAGUGGGGAAUAUUGGACAAUGGGCGCAAGCCUGAUCCAGCCAUACCGCAUGGGUGAAGAAGGCCUUCGGGUUGUAAAGCCCUUUUGUUGGGAAAGAAAAGCAGCAGGUUAAUACCCCGCUGUUCUGACGGUACCCAAAGAAUAAGCACCGGCUAACUUCGUG